AUGGAAGUAAUGAUCCUAUUGGCAAGUUUUGUGGAAAUUCAUCAAUUUCUCCGGUUGGUCCCUACUAUUCAAACGGAAAGAGCAUGAAACUGGUAUUCAAGUCCAACAGUCAUACCAGCGGGGCGGGAUUCCAGGUUGUGGUUUCUCAUACUACACGGAAAGUGGUACCUGACCAAUCAGAGAAUUGUGGGCCCAGAUUUCAGACUGCAACCACACAUCCAAAAUUCCUCAGUUCCCCAGGAUAUCCUGUGCUUUCUCCCAGCAACGCCGAUUGUAUUUGGAUACUAAAGGCCUCAGACCCAAACAUGACG